rnacentral:rRNA from 1 species
UCCAGCAGCCAUAUCACUCUGCAACUCACAACUGGCAGCCCACUGAAGCUCAGCAGGUGUGAGCCUGGUCAGUACCUGGGUGGGAGACCUCCUGGGAAAAACUAAGGCUGCUGCUGGAA